rnacentral:rRNA from 1 species
UACGUAGGGUGCGAGCGUUAAUCGGAAUUACUGGGCGUAAAGCGUGCGUAGGCGGUUCGUUAAGUGCGUCGUGAAAGCCCCGGGCUCAACCUGGGAAUGGCGAUGGAAACUGGCGGGCUGGAGUAUGGCAGAGGGGGGUGGAAUUCCGCGUGUAGCAGUGAAAUGCGUAGAGAUGCGGAGGAACACCGAUGGCGAAGGCAGCCCCCUGGGCCAAUACUGACGCUGAGACGCGAAAGCGCGGGGAGCGAACGGG